AGUGAACGCUAGCGGUGCGCCUAACACAUGCAAGUCGAGCGGCCUUCGGGCAGCGGCGAACGGCUGAGUAACACGUGGGAGCCUACCUUGAACUCAGGGAUAACUCCUCGAAAGAGGGGCUAAUACCGGAUGUCCCGGCAACGGGAAAGAUUUUUCGGUUCAAGAGGGGCCUACGGCCUAUCAGGUAGUUGGUGGGGUAAUAGCCUACCAAGCCUAUGACGGGUAACUGGUCUGAGAGGAUGACCAGUCAGAAUGGGACUGAGACACGGCCCAU
rnacentral:rRNA from 1 species